rnacentral:rRNA from 1 species
CUUUAUGUCUUGUAAUUGGAUGAUGGGAAUUUAAACCUCUUCCAGAGUAACAAUUGGAGGGCAAGUCUGGUGCCAGCAGCCGCGGUAAUUCCAGCUCCAAUAGCGUAUAUUAAAAUUGUUGCAGUUAAAAAGCUCGUAGUUGAAUUUCUGCUGCAUUGCAUUUUCUCCUAUACGAGUUUUUGCAUUGUGGCUUAUUUCGGUUAUAAAAUUUAUUUUUAUUUCCGGAUGUUUACUUUGAGAAAAUUAGAGUGCUCAAAGCAGGCUUUUGCCUUGAAUAGAUUAGCAUGGAAUAAUAAAGUAGGACUUUGGUUCUAUUUUGUUGGUUUUAGGUACCAAAGUAAUGGUUAAUAGGGACAGUUG